CAGGCAAUGACAGUGCCAGGACAGAUUGGGAAAAGAGUCAAUAAAGCAUACAGCAUCCUGGGCUUUACCAAUAAUUGCAAAGGGUACAAAAGCAGAUGUGUAUAUUCAAGUGCUCAGUCAACUGAUCUCCCUGAGGCCCUUCCAAUCUCACUCCGAUGCCUCUAAUCUCUUCCUACUUUCUUCUCCGCUGUGGUUGUGGCCUGAUACCGAAGGACUAUCGCCCUACAGCCAGCCUGCCUCUCAAAGAACAUACUAAGAACUGCUGACUGCUAAAAGAGACAGAAGACUUUUGCAGCUUUUUAAACUCAAGUUCAGAGUUGAAGAAAGAAAUCUGAAAAAGAACGCCUUCCCUUUGGCAGGCAUGCUACGACUGUUGUGGCUGUAAAAGGUGGACUUAAAAGAUUCAUGACACUAUUUGAAGAAGAGAUCUGUCCAUGGCCUGGCCAGCAUUUAUCCUUCAGCAAGUAUCACCACACAAUCUAUAUGGUCAUCUAUCUCAGUGUUGUUUGUGAGACUUUGCUGCAUGCAAAUUGUCUGCUGUAUUUCCCUAAACUGCAGCAGAAACUCUUUAGGACCUCCUGAGCACGUUCUUGGCAUCUCAUGAAUGCAACAAUCCUCUCAAAGGCACAUCUCCCAUGUAUGCUGGCACUUAUCAUGCAGACAUGACUUCGUUGGCUUGGGCACGUUUGCAAGAUGGAAGAUGGAUGCAUUCCUCAGGAUUUUCUGUAUGGUGUUUGGCCGGAGCCAGAAGGUCAGUCAGACGCCCAAAGAUCCACUUCGAGGAGGCUUGCAAGCAUGAUAUGAAGGCCCUAAACAUUGAUUUUCACACCUGGGAGAUACUGGUCAACCGGGAGAAAUAGCAACAUCACCUGUGGACCGGAGUACGCUGCCAUGAUGAUCACUGGUAACAGCAGCCUGACAACAGACGCCAAACUGAAAACAGCAACCAACAAUGACACCUGAUAACUACCUCAUAUGCAACAUCCCUGUAAUGGAUUUGUUUCUUCAGUCAUCAGCAGAAGUGCACCAUAUGAAACUAUUCCAUCCCCAGUGUAUUUGCUGCAUAUCCAUCAUCAUAGAUCAAAGGAUGCCAAUGAAUAUUCCUACCAAACAAAAUACCUAUCAAUCUCAGUUUUGAAGUUUUUGAUUUACAUUGCCUCGACAGCUUUUGGGGGUAGGAGCAAGAAUUCCAGAUUUUCACUGCACUUUGUGUGUAGAAAUGCUUUCUGACAUCACCAAUGAUCUGUUUAACUCUAAUUUUAAGGUGUUGUUCCUUGUUCUAGACUGUUUUCUUACUUUCUUACUCCAUCAAAUUCCUUAAUCGUUUUAUAUAGCUCAAUUAGAUCAUUCCUUAACAUAGUUCAUGGAGACUGAAAAUGAAUAAAGUGCAAAACACAUUCUCUAUAUUUUUGCGUAAAUAGUCCCCGAAGAAAAU